UGCUCCCAGCAUUCAGGGAGCAUCCUAGCUCGGGAGGAAAUGAGCAUGCGGUGCACAAACUAUGCACGCGCAAAUAAUAACGUGACAACUAGAUAGUUUAAACAGCAAUAAAGACUUAUCCUAGGGAGGUAUUGCUGACUGACAUGGCUGUCGGGUCCACCACAGCUACUGUUAUCGCAGUGUGGGAUAAGCUAACGUUAGCUAGCUACUUUAAAUCUGACAGGUGUGAGAUUGAAGUUUAUUUCGCGGAGUAAAAUGGCUGCGACUGGUCUAGGUUCGGAUGCGGAGUGACGUAAUGACGAAGCCUUGGGAGCCGUCUGACCUGAUACGAGAUGAGCGGGGAUGCGGUCAGUGAGGAAGUCGACCACCAGGAUUCUGCUGGUGACGAACAGCACCCCUCCCUCGGUGUAAACAUUAUAGCGCUCAGCGCUCUGCACGUCGCUGGUCACCGUCCUGGGCAGAAGGACCAGGCUGCCCUGCUCCGAGUAAACCCGCAUGAACUGCAGCAGGAUGCGGUCUAUCCCCAUGCCCUCCGCCGCCACCAGCAGCCCGUCACAGCCGAACAGACUCAGGAACAUCUCAGUCUCAAAC